UACCCGCGGCCCGAGUGGUGCUCAUUAUUAUUGAGCCUAAAGCGUCCGUAGCUGGCCGGGCAAAUCUCCGGGUAAAUCGGGCAGCUCAACUGUCCGAAUUCCGGAGACACUGCUCGGCUUGGGAUCGGGAGAGGGUGAAGGUACUCCCUGGGUAGGGGUAAAAUCCUGUAAUCCGGGGGGGACCACCAGUGGCGAAGGCGUUCACCUAGAACGAAUCCGACAGUGAGGGACGAAGCCCUAGGGCGCAAACGGGAUUAGAUACCCCGGUAGUCUAGGGUGUAAACGCUGCAGACUUGGUGUUGGGGGUCCUGCGUGGGCUGCCAGUGCCGGAGCGAAGGUGUUAAGUCUGCCGCUUGGGGAGUACGGUCGCAAGACUGAAACUUAAAGGAAUUGGCGGGAGAGCACCGCAACGGGAGGAGCGUGCGGUUCAAUUGGAUUCAACGCCGGAAAACUCACCGGGGGCGACGGAGGGAUGAAAGCCAGGCUGAAGACCUUGCCCGAUUCUCCGAGAGGUGGUGCAUGGCCGUCGUCAGUUCGUACCGUAAGGCGUUCUGUUAAGUCAGAUAACGAACGAGACCCUCGCCUUCAGUCGCCACUUCACGAGCGAUCGUGAGAGCACACUGGAGGGAUCGCUGCCGCUAAGGCAGAGGAAGGAGAGGUCUACGGUAGGUCCGUAUGCCCCGAAUCUCCCGGGCAACACGCGCGCUACAAAGGUGGGGACAAUGGGAUCCGACCCCGAAAGGGGAAGGCAAUCCUGAAACCCCAUCGUAGUCUGGAUCGAGGGCUGUAACUCGCCCUCGUGAAAAUGGAUUCCGUAGUAAUCGCGGGUCAACAUCCCGCGGUGAAUGUGCCCCUGCUCUU
rnacentral:rRNA from 1 species